GAUGAACGCUGGCGGCGUGCCUAAUACAUGCAAUUUGAGCGAACAGACGAGGAGCUUGCUCCUUUGACGUUAGCGGCGGACGGGUGAGUAACACGUGGGUAACCUACCUAUAAGACUGGGAUAACUUCGGGAAACCGGAGCUAAUACCGGAUAAUAUUUCGAACCGCAUGGUUCGAUAGUGAAAGAUGGCUUUGCUAUCACUUAUAGAUGGACCUGCGCCGUAUUAGCUAGUUGGUAAGGUAACGGCUUACCAAGGCAACGAUACGUAGCCGACCUGAGAGGGUGAUCGGCCACACUGGAACUGAGACACGGUCCAGACUCCUACGGGAGGCAGCAGUAGGGAAUCUUCCGCAAUGGGCGAAAGCCUGACGGAGCAACGCCGCGUGAGUGAUGAAGGUCUUCGGAUCGUAAAACUCUGUUAUUAGGGAAGAACAAACGUGUAAGUAACUGUGCACGUCUUGACGGUACCUAAUCAGAAAGCCACGGCUAACUACGUGCCAGCAGCCGCGGUAAUACGUAGGUGGCAAGCGUUAUCCGGAAUUAUUGGGCGUAAAGCGCGCGUAGGCGGUUUUUUAAGUCUGAUGUGAAAGCCCCACGGGCUCAACCGUGGAGGGUCAUUGGAAACUGGAAAACUUGAGUGCAGAAGAGGAAAGUGGAAUUCCAUGUGUAGCGGUGAAAUGCGCAGAGAUAUGGAGGAACACCAGUGGCGAAGGCGACUUUCUGGUCUGUAACUGACGCUGAUGUGCGAAAGCGUGGGGAUCAAACAGGAUUAGAUACCCUGGUAGUCCACGCCGUAAACGAUGAGUGCUAAGUGUUAGGGGGUUUCCGCCCCUUAGUGCUGCAGCUAACGCAUUAAGCACUCCGCCUGGGGAGUACGACCGCAAGGUUGAAACUCAAAGGAAUUGACGGGGACCCGCACAAGCGGUGGAGCAUGUGGUUUAAUUCGAAGCAACGCGAAGAACCUUACCAAAUCUUGACAUCCUUUGACCCUUCUAGAGAUAGAAGUUUCCCCUUCGGGGGACAAAGUGACAGGUGGUGCAUGGUUGUCGUCAGCUCGUGUCGUGAGAUGUUGGGUUAAGUCCCGCAACGAGCGCAACCCUUAAGCUUAGUUGCCAUCAUUAAGUUGGGCACUCUAAGUUGACUGCCGGUGACAAACCGGAGGAAGGUGGGGAUGACGUCAAAUCAUCAUGCCCCUUAUGAUUUGGGCUACACACGUGCUGCAAUGGACAAUACAAAGGGCAGCGAAACCGCGAGGUCAAGCAAAUCCCAUAAAGUUGUUCUCAGUUCGGAUUGUAGUCUGCAACUCGACUACAUGAAGCUGGAAUCGCUAGUAAUCGUAGAUCAGCAUGCUACGGUGAAUACGUUCCCGGGUCU
rnacentral:rRNA from 1 species